rnacentral:lncRNA from 1 species
AUUCGGUUUACACGAUGCUUUAAGCUUCGGAUACACGAGCAAUAUUUUUGCUGCGAUGGUUACGCAAUGGGUGAUAACAGCAUUGCGUUGCCGUCGCACAAGGUGGCUACACCUGCAAUAUUUCGCCUGCAAUAUAUGUCUUCAUAACGCUUUUCAUUGGCUGGUCAAGAAACGUGUCAUUCAUCAACCUUGACCUUCCUUGACCACACCUCCCAAUUUUCGGCAAUCAUUGCCGAAAAUCAAAUGAUUUGAAAUUUCGGCAACGAUUGCGCGCAGCUUUGCGUUGCCGUCGCAGAGCAUGAUACACAAGCAAUUUCUUUCUCGCUACGGCAAUGCGACGAUUUUACCACCAUUGCAUUGCCAUCGCCAGAAAAGUAUUGCCCGUGUAUCCGUAGCUUUAAACGCGACGCCAUGUUUGUGCAGUGUUUCCACCAUGAUAAAAUUUCCUUCCUAUUCGC